rnacentral:rRNA from 1 species
GAUGAACGCUAGCUACAGGCUUAACACAUGCAAGUCGAGCGGUUUGUGCUUUUGCACAUUCAGCGGCAGACGGGUGAGUAACACGUAUCUAACCUUCCCCUUACUUGGGCAUAGCCUCUGGAAACGGAGAUUAAUUUCCGAUGUGGUGUACAUUUCGCAUGUUUUGCGCACCAAAGAUUUAUCGGUAAGGGAUGGGGAUGCGCUCCAUUAGGUUGUAGGUAGGGUAAUGGCCUACCUAGCCUAUGAUGGAUAGGGGUUCUGAGAGGAAGGUCCCCCACAUUGGAACUGCGACACGGUCCAAAACUCCUACGGGAGGCAGCAGUGAGGAAUAUUGGUCAAUGGCCGGAAGGCUGAACCAGCCAAGUAGCGUGCAGGAUGACUGCCUUAUGGGUUGUAAACUGCUUUUUACGGGAUAAUUAUGAUCACGUGUGAUUAUUUGCAUGUACCGUAAGAAUAAAGGAUCGGCUAACUCCGUGCCAGCAGCCGCGGUAAAU